rnacentral:rRNA from 1 species
ACUCCUACGGGAGGCAGCAGUGGGGAAUAUUGCACAAUGGGCGAAAGCCUGAUGCAGCAACGCCGCGUGAGGGACGACGGCCUUCGGGUUGUAAACCUCUUUUAGCAGGGAAGAAGCGAAAGUGACGGUACCUGCAGAAAAAGCACCGGCUCCUUCUGCCAGCAGCCGCGGUAAU